UGGCUCAGGAUGAACGCUAGCUACAGGCUUAACACAUGCAAGUCGAGGGGCAGCAUGGUCUUAGCUUGCUAAGGCCGAUGGCGACCGGCGCACGGGUGAGUAACACGUAUCCAACCUGCCGUCUACUCUUGGACAGCCUUCUGAAAGGAAGAUUAAUACAAGAUGGCAUCAUGAGUCCGCAUGUUCACAUGAUUAAAGGUAUUCCGGUAGACGAUGGGGAUGCGUUCCAUUAGAUAGUAGGCGGGGUAACGGCCCACCUAGUCUUCGAUGGAUAGGGGUUCUGAGAGGAAGGUCCCCCACAUUGGAACUGAGACACGGUCCAAACUCCUACGGGAGGCAGCAGUGAGGAAUAUUGGUCAAUGGGCGCAGGCCUGGACCAGCCAAGUAGCGUGAAGGAUGACUGCCCUAUGGGUUGUAAACUUCUUUUAUAUGGGAAUAAAGUUUUCCACGUGUGGAAUUUUGUAUGUACCAUAUGAAUAAGGAUCGGCUAACUCCGUGCCAGCAGCCGCGGUAAUACGGAGGAUCCGAGCGUUAUCCGGAUUUAUUGGGUUUAAAGGGAGCGUAGGUGGACAGUUAAGUCAGUUGUGAAAGUUUGCGGCUCAACCGUAAAAUUGCAGUUGAUACUGGCUGUCUUGAGUACAGUAGAGGUGGGCGGAAUUCGUGGUGUAGCGGUGAAAUGCUUAGAUAUCACGAAGAACUCCGAUUGCGAAGGCAGCUCACUGGACUGCAACUGACACUGAUGCUCGAAAGUGUGGGUAUCAAACAGGAUUAGAUACCCUGGUAGUCCACACAGUAAACGAUGAAUACUCGCUGUUUGCGAUAUACAGUAAGCGGCCAAGCGAAAGCAUUAAGUAUUCCACCUGGGGAGUACGCCGGCAACGGUGAAACUCAAAGGAAUUGACGGGGGCCCGCACAAGCGGAGGAACAUGUGGUUUAAUUCGAUGAUACGCGAGGAACCUUACCCGGGCUUAAAUUGCAUUUGAAUGUUGGGGAAACCCAACAGCCGCAAGGCAAAUGUGAAGGUGCUGCAUGGUUGUCGUCAGCUCGUGCCGUGAGGUGUCGGCUUAAGUGCCAUAACGAGCGCAACCCUUAUCUUUAGUUACUAACAGGUCAUGCUGAGGACUCUAGAGAGACUGCCGUCGUAAGAUGUGAGGAAGGUGGGGAUGACGUCAAAUCAGCACGGCCCUUACGUCCGGGGCUACACACGUGUUACAAUGGGGGGUACAGAAGGCAGCUACCUGGUGACAGGAUGCUAAUCCCAAAAGCCUCUCUCAGUUCGGAUCGAAGUCUGCAACCCGACUUCGUGAAGCUGGAUUCGCUAGUAAUCGCGCAUCAGCCACGGCGCGGUGAAUACGUUCCCGGGCCUUGCACUCACCGCCCGUA
rnacentral:rRNA from 1 species